rnacentral:rRNA from 1 species
UACGUAGGGGGCGAGCGUUGUCCGGAGUUACUGGGCGUAAAGCGCACGCAGGCGGUCUGUGAAGUUUGGAGUGACAGUUGGUGGCUCAACCACCAAAGUGCUUUGAAAACUGAUAGACUUGAGGGCUUCAGAGGGACACGGAAUUCCGGGUGGAGUGGCGAAAUGCGUAGAGAUCCGGAGGAACACCAAAGGCGAAGGCAGUGUCCUGGGGAGUACCUGACGCUCAGGUGCGAAAGCCAGGGGAGCGAACGGG